rnacentral:misc_RNA from 1 species
UUAAGUUCAGCGGGUAUCCCUACCUGAUCCGAGGUCAACUGGAGAAAUUGGGGGUUUGCUGGCCGCCGCCGCCUGGGUCCCAAAGCGAGAUAUCGCUACUACGCUUGAAGCCAGAGGACGCCGCCACUGAUUUUGAGGCCCGCCGGAUCACCGGCGCGACCCAAUACCAAGCAGAGCUUGAGGGGUGAAAUGACGCUCGA